rnacentral:rRNA from 1 species
UGGGGAAUUUUGGACAAUGGGGGAAACCCUGAUCCAGCCAUCCCGCGUGUGCGAUGAAGGCCUUCGGGUUGUAAAGCACUUUUGGCAGGAAAGAAACGUCAUGGGUUAAUACCCCGUGAAACUGACGGUACCUGCAGAAUAAGCACCGGCUAACUACGUGCCAGUAGCCGCGGUAAUACGUAGGGUGCAAGCGUUAAUCGGAAUUACUGGGCGUAAAGCGUGCGCAGGCGGUUCGGAAAGAAAGAUGUGAAAUCCCAGAGCUCAACUUUGGAACUGCAUUUUUAACUACCGGGCUAGAGUGUGUCAGAGGGAGGUGGAAUUCCGCGUGUAGCAGUGAAAUGCGUAGAUAUGCGGAGGAACACCGAUGGCGAAGGCAGCCUCCUGGGAUAACACUGACGCACAUGCACGAAAGCGUGGGGAGCAAACAGG